UACAGAGGUCCCAAGCGUUGUUCGGAUUCAUUGGGCGUAAAGGGCGCGUAGGCGGCAUGGCAAGUCAGGAGUGAAAGGCCUGGGCUCAACCGAGGAACUGCUUUUGAUACUGCCAAGCUAGAGUGCGGAAGGGGCAACUGGAAUUCCCAGUGUAGCGGUGAAAUGCGUAGAUAUUGGGAAGAACACCUGAGGCGAAGGCGGGUUGCUGGGCCGACACUGACGCUGAGGCGCGAAAGCCAGGGGAGCAAACGGG
rnacentral:rRNA from 1 species